rnacentral:lncRNA from 1 species
CUCCAUAGGAAUCUUAGUGGUCUAGCACCAAGUCCUCAGGAUUAAUUAUUAUUCCACAGCGACCUGUUUGGAUAAUCAUGGUGACCUUGAUUUGGGGAAUUUAACAUUUAUCGUCAUUGAAUUUUAUGACUACAUGCUCCUACUACCCUUUUUGGCAAGAAAAUCUAUAAUUAGAGUUAUGACAUAACAUAAACCAUCUAGAGAUAUGAUGGGAUGGUGCAUUGCAAGUACCAUGGCAUAAAAACCUGGGAGACUUUAUGACAUUAGUGGUAUGAGUGAUGAGAAAAUCUUUGUCUUUUCUUAUUGUCUUUUUUGCUUGCAGGACAUCAAACAGUAUGACUGUCUGAAGACUUAGGGAAUCCUAGGUACUGGAUUCCACAUGAAAAAAUGACCAACCAGGAAACCUAGUUUAUAGCAAAGGAGGUGCUAAGGCAAACCUCUGACCAUGAGAUGAACUAAUCAUUUAACAUACAACACCACUCAUUAACUGGAAGACUAGAAAUCCCGCUUGGAGGCAAUACUUUAUGAGGAUGCAACACAAUCCAUGCUGUGGUA